UACGUAGGCAGCAAGCGUUGUUCGGAAUUACUGGGCGUAAAGCGCACGUAGGCGGCUUUGUAAGUUAGAGGUGAAAGCCUGGAGCUCAACUCCAGAACUGCCUUUAAGACUGCAUCGCUUGAAUCCAGGAGAGGUGAGUGGAAUUCCGAGUGUAGAGGUGAAAUUCGUAGAUAUUCGGAAGAACACCAGUGGCGAAGGCGGCGACCUGGGCCAAUAUUGACGCUGAGGUGCGAAAGCGUGGGGAGCAAACAGG
rnacentral:rRNA from 1 species